rnacentral:rRNA from 1 species
AACGAACGCUGGCGGCAUGCCUAACACAUGCAAGUCGAACGAGACCUUCGGGUCUAGUGGCGCACGGGUGCGUAACGCGUGGGAACCUGCCCUUAGGUUCGGAAUAACACCCCGAAAGGGGUGCUAAUACCGGAUAAUGUCUUCGGACCAAAGAUUUAUCGCCUUUGGAUGGGCCCGCGUUGGAUUAGCUAGUUGGUAGGGUAAAAGCCUACCAAGGCGACGAUCCAUAGCUGGUCUGAGAGGAUGAUCAGCCACACUGGGACUGAGACACGGCCCAGACUCCUACGGGAGGCAGCAGUGGGGAAUAUUGGACAAUGGGCGAAAGCCUGAUCCAGCAAGGCCGCGUGAGUGAUGAAGGCCUUAGGGUUGUAAAGCUCUUUACCCGGGAUGAUAAUGACAGUACCGGGAGAAUAAGCUCCGGCUAACUCCGUG